CGUGGGUGUAUGAGACUUGAGAGGAUUUGUCCCUAGUACGAGAGGACCGGGAUGAACAUACCUCUGGUGUACCGGUUGUCGCGCCAGCGGCACAGCCGGGUAGCUAAGUAUGGACGGGAUAACCGCUGAAAGCAUCUAAGCGGGAAACCCACCUCAAAACUAGGUCUCACAGGGCCGUGAAAGACCAUCACGUCAAUAGGCCGGGUGUGGAAGCGUGGUAACACGUGAAGCUAACCGGUCCUAAUCGCCCAUAUCGCUCACACAA
rnacentral:ncRNA from 2 species